rnacentral:rRNA from 1 species
ACGGGGUGCACCAGGCGCGAAACCUCUGCAAUAGGAGAAAGCCUGACAGGGUUUCUGUGAGUGAUUUCCGUUAAGGAGAUCUUUUGGCACCUCUAAAAAUGGUGCAGAAUAAGGGGUGGGCAAGUCUGGUGUCAUCCUCCGCGGUAAUACCAGCACCCCGAGUGGUCGGGACGUUUAUUGGGCAUAAAGCAUCCGUAGCCGGUUUUACAAGUCUUCCGUUAAAUCCACCUGCAUUAACAGAUGGGCUGCGGAAGAUACUAUAGAGCUAGGUGGCGGGAGAGGCAAGCGGUACUCGAUGGGUAGGGGUAAAAUCCGUUGAUCCAUUGAAGACCACCAGUGGAGAAGGGGCCUUGCCAGAACUGCGCUUUACGGUGAGGGAUGAAAGCUGGGGGAGCAAACCGGAUUAUAUCCCCGGGUAGUCCCACUCGUAAACGAUGCAGCCUCGGUGUUGAG